ensembl:lincRNA
UCGUUAUUAGCUGCUCCAGCUGUGCAGGGUCACGCUAUUGACCAGAGCGGGGGUUCUGCCGUCUUUCAUUUCUCUUAUGACUUUUAAGACACGUCCGUAUGAUGCUGUGGUUGGCUGAGAGUCAGACACGUGACCCGGAAGCGAAAGGAACUCUAAACGGGAUUUUUUAACGCUUCACGUAAACAAACAAACAAAAGUUUAUGAUGUGCUCAUUUCAUCUCGAUAAGGAGGAUCAGUGUGUUGUCAUACUGUCAGAGUCGCGAGUUGAUUGUGUUAGAUCAGCAGACGGUCGCAGGAUUCUCAAGCAUGAGUAUUGAGCAGGUAUCGCUGCUGCUGCAGGAGUGUGUGCGGUGUGCACAGAGUGAUAAAACUGAACCCACGGAGCUGCUGCUGCUCCACCGUGGGCAGUUUCCGGAUGAUCUGAACGCACUCCUGCAGGACGCGGCUGACAGAAAGUGGCCGUUUGUGGAGGAGAAAUGGCAGUACAAGCAGUCGGUGUCGUCUGAAGACAAGAUCAACUCAUCAGAGCUCAUCAGGGCUCAUCUGCAGGACUUACUGCUCUUCCUCAGAGACUGUAUCGCGGCCGAUGAUCCCGGUUUGGCCGCCGCUGUGCUGUUUCUGCUGGACCGUCUGCUGUACUGGAUGGAUGGCUCAGAGGGCCUGCUUAAGGUUGCUAAAGCGUUGCACAAACGUUAUCCAGACGUUCCCAUUGCUCCUCAGGUCAUCAUCCGGCAGGCUCGGGUUUACCUGAACACCGGUAAACUGAGGAAGGCAGAGUUCAUUCUCAGCAGUCUGAUCAAAAAUAAUGCGUCCACAGGUACUGUUCCCUUUCAUUGCUUUACAUGCGAAUAUAGCUCAAUGCCGUGUCUGUGCUGUGACUGUAAUGCUGUUCUGCAGGCUGCUGGUCGUAUCAGAAGGCCAGUGAUCAGACUCUGGUGCAGGCCGUCUGCCUGCAGGUGCGUGGACAGGUGCUGCAGACGCUGGGUGAGGAACAGAAGAGCGCAAACGCAUGACAAGAGUGUCAUCAACCCUGAACUGUCUAAACUAGCAUUCUCUUCGGCUUAGUCCCUUUAUUUAUCAGGGGUCGCCACAGCGGAAUGAACUGACAACUAUUCCAGCAUAUGUUUUAUACAGUGGAUGCCCUUCCAGCUUCAAUCCAGUACUGGGAAACAUUUAUACACACUCAUUCACACACACACACACACUCAUAGACUACGGCCAGUUUAGCUUAUUCAAUUCCCCUAUAGACAAACUCUACUCAGAAAUGCCAACUGAACCAGCCGGGACUUGAACCAGAGGCUUUCUUGCUCUGAGGCAACAGUGCUAACCACUGAGCCACCAUGCCACCCCCACACCAAGCUCAAUAACAAUUAAAUGAUGAUAAAUACGUCGUUUUUAAAAUGGUUCUGAAUGUAAAACAUUAGCCGAGUUCAGCCCACAGCUACAACCAUAAACAUGUAGAGAAACAAUAACGUUGGGAUCACGUUUAGAAUAAUAACAGAUAAUACACCAUUUAAACAUUACACACUGUGUUUUAAAAAAUGUAAAACGUUUAGCACACUUAACGUUUUCUUUAGGUGAAAAAUGGGCUUUAUGCACAUCAAGUUUGUGCUCUAGUUUACACGAGCUGGAUUCACUGGUCAGAUGCACUAAUAGCACACUGAGGACAUCUACUGGUUACAGGAGAAUAAUGCAAGAAGAAAAAAGAUUGAUGAUAUGUUUUGUUGUCUUGGUAAUGUCAAGUUGUCAUGACAAAGACAAAAACCGGUUGGGAUGUAUUUGUUUAUGUCAGGUUGUCAUAACAAUGUCAUAUUUGCAUUUAAAAUGACACAACUGACUGAAUGACAGUUGUCAUGAGCGUGCAUAAAAUCUCAGUCACAACAUGAUUAUAAAGUUUUCCCGACAGUCUUAUGAACACCCCUUAAACUAAAGUGUUGAAUAAUGUAAUAUAAAAUGUGCGUCUGUAGGUUUGUGGCUGGAAUCUGCAGAGCUCUUAUGGGCGUCUGUCAUCGGCUUUUACACUCUUCCACAGCCUGAUAAAAAGGUCAGAGUAACACACAUUUGCAUUAUAUAACAUAUUAUAAUCACAUCAGACUGUGUUUUUGCUGGUGUGUUGUCUAGAACUCUUGAAUAUCAGCAUUUGUUGUUGUUUUCAGGGCAUUGGAACGUCUCUCGGGCUUCUGGCUAACAUACUGACCUCCAUGAAUGAGCGAGACUUCACGGCGCUCCAGAAUAAACCACAUAUUAAACUGGUAAUUAGGUCUGAAUGUUGGCUGGGUAGUAGUGGAUUACAUCCAAGGAUUCCAUAUUCAGAUUAGAUUAAACUACUUUUUAAAUUACUUGUAAUCAGAUUACAGUUACUUUUUAAUGGAUUGCAUAUUAUUUCCGGAAUGGCAGUAAGUUUUUCACAAUAAAUCGAUUCUUUAAUAAGUAAUCUAAAUGGAAUACGAAAGGAGUUUGAUUUCAUUUUCACAAAAGUAAUCUAAAUGUAAUCCAAAAGCAGUAGGAUUACAUUACUACAAAAAUAAAAUAAAUGUAAUCCAAAAGUAGUCAUAUUACAUCACAAC